rnacentral:rRNA from 1 species
GACGAACGCUGGCGGCGUGCUUAACACAUGCAAGUCGAACGGAAAGGCCCUGCUUUUGUGGGGUGCUCGAGUGGCGAACGCGUGAGUAACACGUGAGUAACCUGCCCUUGACUUUGGGAUAACUUCAGGAAACUGGGGCUAAUACCGGAUAGGAGCUCCUGCUGCAUGGUGGGGGUUGGAAAGUUUCGGCGGUUGGGGAUGGACUCGCGGCUUAUCAGCUUGUUGGUGGGGUAGUGGCUUACCAAGGCUUUGACGGGUAGCCGGCCUGAGAGGGUGACCGGCCACAUUGGGACUGAGAUACGGCCCAGACUCCUACGGGAGGCAGCAGUGGGGAAUAUUGCACAAUGGGCGGAAGCCUGAUGCAGCAACGCCGCGUGCGGGAUGACGGCCUUCGGGUUGUAAACCGCUUUCGCUUGUGACGAAGCGUGAGUGACGGUAAUGGGUAAAGAAGCACCGGCUAACUACGUG